CAAUAGCGUAUAUUAAAGUUGUUGCAGUUAAAAAGCUCGUGGUUGGAUUUCUGGUGAGAUGGAUUAUGUCUAGGUCGAAAGAUCUUGUUCAUGGUUCGUUUUGCCCUUCUUGUCAGGAACCCGCUGAGAUUCGCGUCUUGUCGGUGGAAUGGCAUCGUUUACUGUGAAAAAAUUAGAGUGUUCAAAGCAGGCAUCGCCGUUGAAUACAUUAGCAUGGAAUAAUAAGAUAAGACUUUGGUGGUCUAUUUUGUUGGUUUGCACGCCAAAGUAAUGAUUAAUAGGGAUAGUUGGGGGUAUUUGUAUUCUAUUGCUAGAGGUGAAAUUCUUAAAUUUAUGGAAGACGAACUACUGCGAAAGCAUUUACCAAGGAUGUUUUCAUUAA
rnacentral:rRNA from 1 species